rnacentral:rRNA from 1 species
AACGAACGCUGGCGGCAGGCCUAACACAUGCAAGUCGAGCGCCCAGCCUUUUAAGUGACCGUGAAGACCGUUUUUGGUUUUAUAUCGGCCCCUUAAAUGGCUGGGAGCGGCGGACGGGUGAGUAACGCGUGGGAAUAUGCCCUUCACUACGGAAUAGCCCAGGGAAACUUGGAUUAAUACCGUAUACGCCCUUUUGGGGAAAGAAUUUCGGUGAGGGAUUAGCCCGCGUUGGAUUAGGUAGUUGGUGGGGUAAUGGCCUACCAAGCCGACGAUCCAUAGCUGGUUUGAGAGGAUGAUCAGCCACACUGGGACUGAGACACGGCCCAGACUCCUACGGGAGGCAGCAGUGGGGAAUCUUAGACAAUGGGGGCAACCCUGAUCUAGCCAUGCCGCGUGAGUGAUGAAGGCCUUAGGGUUGUAAAGCUCUUUCAGCUGGGAAGAUAAUGACGGUACCAGCAGAAGAAGCCCCGGCUAACUCCGUGCCAGCCGCCGCCGUAACAC